GAGGUUCGUGUAUACAUCAUCAGAUGAACUGUGCAGGUUUGUUUAGUUUCUAAGGCCGAUCACUUUGUUCGACUACUAAACCCACCAGUUACGUAAAUAGUUAAACAGUGGUAUAGCAAGAACAAGGAAAUAACAAACGUUGCAGCAGCAGCAGCA